UACGUAGGGUGCGAGCGUUGUCCGGAAUCAUUGGGCGUAAAGCGCACGUAGGCGGUUCGUUAUGUCGGAUGUGAAAGCCCUUGGCUUAACCGAGGAAGUGCAUCCGAAACUGGCGAGCUAGAGUACUAAAGAGGAUCGCAGAAUUCCCGGUGUAGAGGUGAAAUUCGUAGAUAUCGGGAGGAACACCGGUGGCGAAGGCGGUUCUCUGGGCCUGUACUGACGCUGAGGAGCGAAAGCGUGGGGAGCGAACAGG
rnacentral:rRNA from 1 species